rnacentral:rRNA from 1 species
GUAGGUGGCAAGCGUUGUCCGGGAAUUAUUGGGGCGUAAAGCGCGCGCAGGCGGUUCUUUAAGUCUGAUGUGAAAGCCCACGGGCUCAACCGUGGAGGGUCAUUGGAAACUGGAGAACUUGAGUACAGAAGAGGAAAGCGGAAUUCCACGUGUAGCGGUGAAAUGCGUAGAGAUGUGGAGGAACACCAGUGGCGAAGGCGGCUUUCUGGUCUGUAACUGACGCUGAGGCGCGAAAGCGUGGGGAGCAAACAGGAUUAGAUACCCUGGUAGUCCACGCCGUAAACGAUGAGUGCUAAGUGUUAGGGGGUUUCCGCCCCUUAGUGCUGCAGCUAACGCAUUAAAAAAAAAAAAGCACUCCGCCUGGGGAGUACGGCCGCAAAGGCUGA